rnacentral:rRNA from 1 species
AGUGAACGCUGGCGGUAGGCCUAACACAUGCAAGUCGAACGGCAGCACAGUAAGAGCUUGCUCUUACGGGUGGCGAGUGGCGGACGGGUGAGGAAUACAUCGGAAUCUACUUUUUCGUGGGGGAUAACGUAAGGAAACUUACGCUAAUACCGCAUACGACCUACGGGUGAAAGCAGGGGAUCUUCGGACCUUGCGCGAUUGAAUGAGCCGAUGUCGGAUUAGCUAGUUGGCGGGGUAAAGGCCCACCAAGGCGACGAUCCGUAGCUGGUCUGAGAGGAUGAUCAGCCACACUGGAACUGAGACACGGUCCAGACUCCUACGGGAGGCAGCAGUGGGGAAUAUUGGACAAUGGGCGUAAGCCUGAUCCAGCCAUACCGCGUGGGUGAAGAAGGCCUUCGGGUUGUAAAGCCCUUUUGUUGGGAAAGAAAAGCAGCAGGUUAAUACCCCGCUGUUCUGACGGUACCCAAAGAAUAAGCACCGGCUAACUUCGUG